CCCUGAUAGUUUAAAGCAGGCCCAAGAUAUGAAAGCAUUUUCCUUCCUGCAUAUUUAAUGGACUUAAUGAGAUAACAAUGAGAAUCUGUGUUUAGGCUCUGUAGCGCAUUUGGCUUUCCAGCAUGUUUAUAUGAUAAAAGGCAGUGGGCUGUUAUUUAUGUGCUUAGCUGGGGUUUAUUCUUUUUAAACAGGUCUGGACAGCUACUUGUUAUAUUUGGCUCAUGCUAGCUUAAAAAAGGAAUUUAUGGACCUUACUGCAGAACGUCCCAAUUCUUCAGGCCAAGGAGACUUCACCUCCACCUGUCAGCCUGGGGACACCACGGGCCCUGUGAACAGAGGCCCAGCCGUCACCCAGAGAAGUGUGAGUCAACCGUAUUUCCUCAGUGGCUUGUUCAUUCAUUCGCUUCCUCUCAUUCUCUCCAGUGUUAAUUGUGGACUGGCCAAUGCGUGGGUGCUGAGGUGCAGGGAUGAAAGGCAGGAGAGGGCAGGGAAAGAAGCGUCAGAAACCCCACACCCUCCAGUUCAAAUCCCAGCUCUGCCAUUUCCUAGAUUUGUAACUUAG
rnacentral:lncRNA from 1 species